rnacentral:rRNA from 1 species
UACGUAGGGUGCAAGCGUUAAUCGGAAUUACUGGGCGUAAAGCGUGCGCAGGCGGUGAUGUAAGACAGAUGUGAAAUCCCCGGGCUCAACCUGGGAACUGCAUUUGUGACUGCAUCGCUGGAGUGCGGCAGAGGGGGAUGGAAUUCCGCGUGUAGCAGUGAAAUGCGUAGAUAUGCGGAGGAACACCGAUGGCGAAGGCAAUCCCCUGGGCCUGCACUGACGCUCAUGCACGAAAGCGUGGGGAGAAAACAGG